GCUGGGCAUGGUAGUGCAUGCUUGUAGUUCUAGCUACUUGGGUGGGAGGCUGAGGUGGGAGGCUUGCUUGAGCCCAAGAGGUCAAGGCUGCAGUGAGCUGUGAAUGGGCCACUGCACUCCAGCCUGGGCAACAGAGCAAGACCCUGUCUCAA
rnacentral:sRNA from 1 species